UCAGAAGUAACGCAGACAGCGUGGCAGAAAGUCUUGUGGCAAGAAAUUCGAAUGUUAAAGAUAAAUCGAAAAAUGAAAAAAGAAAUCCACUAUUUGUAACGCACAAUUUAUCGUAUUGCAAUCAGUUUCACUCCUUAGAAUUUUCAAAAGUACACACAAUGCAUGGCAGAAAGUUUUGUUGCAAGAAAUUUAAAUAUUGAGAAAAUGAACAGAGAUGCACUAUUGGUAACGCACAAUUUAUUGUAUUACAAUAAUAUAGAAAAAGAGAGUAAAGUGCAAGGUGACACUGUAUAACAUAAUAUCAAAUUCGGUGGUUUCCAACUGUGUGCAGCUAAAAUGCUGUGUUCAACAGUGCAAACGUUCAGACCCUAAUGACAACUCAUGUAAACUGACUGCUCCGCACUUUGGCGGUGAAAUGAAGAAGCCAAAUAGUGUAUCAACCACAAACGGAGACUGUUUAGACAUUUGCCUAGAUGUUGCUCACGCCUGGCAACAUGACCAUAUAUGGUCAUGUACGAUUGCCAACAAAGACUAUAAAAACAAUAACACCUUGUAAAAGACAGUUCUGAGCACAUUUUGAAUAAAGUCAUUGUUGAGAGUA